rnacentral:rRNA from 1 species
GUCUAAGGCCAUAUCACCCUGAAUAUGCCCAAUCUCGUCUGGUCUUGAAAGCUGAGCAGGGUCAGGCCUGGUUAGCACUUGGAUGGAAGACAGAUCUUCAGAAGAGACUGCUCAGAGACAAGCAGUUUGGAGA